rnacentral:lncRNA from 1 species
UAUUAGAUUGUUUGUUUUAAAACUAUUUGAUUGGGUCUUUGAAUCAAAUAGUACCACCCACUAUUUCUGGCAAAUUCCACAUCCCUCAAUAGAAUUCGAGAGUUAUAUUAAACUCUUAGCGGGGUAUGGGAGACUCACCAUUACCAAGCCCACCUCACGAUGAUACGAUGUUGGUUAGCAAAAAUAAUGAUGAGAGAAUAACGCUUUAUUCAUUUACAACUUUUGUAAUUACCCAUCCGUUUGGCCUCUAGAGAAUGUUGCCUCACGAUGAUACGAUGUCGGCUCCAUUGCACUUAGUUAAGUUAUUCCCACCAUGCUUAGUUUGUGAAGGGGUUCAAGAAUAGCCUCACGAUGAUACGAUGUCGGCUAUCCUCGUUGCCUACACUCACCUCAUCAUAUGUUUAUGGACUCCUCCUGGAUGUAAGCACAUACUUUGAACUCCCCCAUGAUAGGGUGAAGCCGGUGCAUGAGUCACAAAUGAUUGGAGCCCACCACGGUGGAAGGCCUACGAAGAGAUGUUCAAAACAUCUCUCGCUUAUCAACUUAAUAUUCGUUUUGUUGAGGGAGUAGUGUUGGGCUACAUCAAAAUCAUUUUAAUCUCAUUAAAAGCACUUGGGCCUAUCAUAACCAUUGGUCCAAGUUAAUAUGAAUUAGUAGUUUAUAAUACUCCCACUAUUUCGAAGAAAACAAGCGAGACUAUAUGGAACUACUAACGAAUGCAUUGCAUCCUCAUAUGGACUAUAUAGUCAUAUUAGGUUUUAGGAUGAUUAUGAACCGUUUGAUUUGAUCCAAUACGAGCCUUGUGUUGGACCUUGGGUUUAAGGUAGAUAGUUGUUGAUUUUAGUUACGCGUUUAAUCCAAUUAAAUCGUUAUUUCCUAUUGGGUGUUGGACCCAACUAUUCCAUUUUGCAUACAUAUAAAACAAAAAGGAAUACAUGAAUAAAUAAUAAGGGCUUAUGCCCUUUUACAACAUAAAUGAUGGACUUAUGUCCAUUUACAACAAAUUGAAUUAAUCAAAUUACAUUCAAAUCUACACU